UGGGAGCUCGUCCAAUUGGCAGGACAGCGGACUCUGGAUCCGCGAAUCGGGGUUCGAAUCCCUGGCUCCCAGCCA
rnacentral:tRNA from 1 species